rnacentral:rRNA from 1 species
AGUCGAACGCCCCGCAAGGGGAGUGGCAGACGGGUGAGUAACGCGUGGGAAUCUACCGUGCCCUGCGGAAUAGCUCCGGGAAACUGGAAUUAAUACCGCAUACGCCCUACGGGGGAAAGAUUUAUCGGGGUAUGAUGAGCCCGCGUUGGAUUAGCUAGUUGGUGGGGUAAAGGCCUACCAAGGCGACGAUCCAUAGCUGGUCUGAGAGGAUGAUCAGCCACAUUGGGACUGAGACACGGCCCAAACUCCUACGGGAGGCAGCAGUGGGGAAUAUUGGACAAUGGGCGCAAGCCUGAUCCAGCCAUGCCGCGUGAGUGAUGAAGGCCUUAGGGUUGUAAAGCUCUUUCACCGGAGAAGAUAAUGACGGUAUCCGGAGAAGAAGCCCCGGCUAACUUCGUGCCAGCAGCCGCGGUAAUACGAAGGGGGCUAGCGUUGUUCGGAAUUACUGGGCGUAAAGCGCACGUAGGCGGAUAUUUAAGUCAGGGGUGAAAUCCCAGAGCUGCAACUCAAUUG